GCCAAGUCAGCAUGACUGGACCCUAGCAGCCUCUCUCUUCCUCCUUCGGCCCUACUUGUCUCUCUGACACUCUAAAAGAUUGUGUGGGCUUUCUCCAGGGAGCCUGUCCUGAAGAUGUGCAAACACAGCCAGUGCUGUCAUCCUGCCACUUUUCAUAGUGUUAUUAACCAGCAGAAAGCCAGAGAAGUAUUUUUGCCCUUCCAAACCAAAGUGAAACAAGGACCACAAGAAUUAUACAUGGCUCACUCUUCAGCCUGGGGCAUAUACAUAUAGAUGCUAAUAGUCUCCAAGGGAAGAUGUUCAUUUUGCGGAGAAGAAAAGUCUGGAGGAACUGCUACUUGUCUCACAGGCAGCACAAUCAAGAAAGCUUCAAAUGGAGCAGGGUGUCAAUUUGCCCUGUGGGUUAGCCAGUACCUACACUACUCCUCCUGUUCACCAGGUCCCAUGGUGCAAGCGAUGUCAUGCUUCUGGGCUAACCCUUCAUCCCCACUGUAUCAUGAUCAUAUGGAUAUGGGGACAAUGAAUACAUGGAAUCUUAGCAAAUGGCCUGUUCCUUUUUUGCACAAGUAGGGCACAAUGUUUUCCUUUGGAUCCUCAGAUCAUAAGAAUUGUAUUUCCAUAUGACUGUCAGAGGUCAAAAAGUACUUGGGGCUCUUCUGGGUAAGGAAGAAAAAAUGCUGUACCAUACCUUCAGUGAAUAUUACUUUUGGAAUUAUCUAGCUUUGCAAGCAACAAAGUACUUUUGCAUACCUGAUAGCUCUAAGGAACAUCAUUCCCUCUGUGCACCACACACUAUUAAAUAUAUGUAACCUGUGAGUGUUCUUUCUGAUAUAGCCAAGUCCCAGAGAUAUGCUAUGUUUGUGUUGCAUUAUCUUUACCACUCGCCAGGCUCAUUAAUUGAAUGUGAUUUUGGAGUGCUGUUUAUGCAAAAGAAAUUUACCUACUCUGGUUUUGGUACCAGGUGGUUAUCAAUAGGUAUUAGGUGCUUAGUCUUGCAUGUGGCUCUACUGCUAUACAUGGAGUCUUAUUCUUUCAAUGGCUAAGCAAUUAAGUAAUGCAGAUUAAUUAAUAAAAUUUUAACACCAAAAUCAGAUAGUCCUACAAAACAGAUAUGUCAGAUGCUUCAGUUCUUAGUAUUUCUAUCAGUAUUUCUGCUCACGACCCAUUCCACAAGUUGUCAUUUCUAAUGACACAGGCAGCUCUUUGCUUAAAGGUAUGUUGAACAACAU